GGAGUGAGGGAACAGGGACAGAAAACAGAGCACUUUGCAAGCAGUUCACUGCCCUUCCCCCUCUUUGAAGGGGGAGCCUUUAAGGCCUGAUCUGGGGAAGGAACUGGGCGUGUUAGCAACGGAGGGACUGGCAGUGAUGGGCUGAAGGAAAACACAAGGCCACAACAUCUGCUUCCGACCCAAACAUCUAUGAAUCUAUAAAACAUAUAUGUAGCCUAGUUAACACCAUGCAUCCUUUUGCAAGAUGGAGAAAGCAAAUUGAAGGAAGGAUGGAUGGACGGACGGACGGACUGAUGGAUGGGCAGAUGGAUGGAUCGACCGACAGACCAAUGAACCGACAGACGGAUGGAUGGACUGAGCCACCAACCUUCUCCAUCUUUUACUCAGAUGAAGUUAGAGUUGGCAAAAAAUGGCAAGGAUCUAUAUUUCCAAAGGGGAAA